AAUAAGUGAUCUUCAGAUGGAGUUAACAACUGUUAUUUGUGUCAAAGAAAGCGACUGGUAGUAAGGGUGAGUGGAGAGGACCUGCAGGCAUCACAGGACAUGAAAACAGCAGAGUCUAAGAAGACAUGAGCUUUUCUGUGCUCACAGUAAAAUCACCAGGAUUCUUGCCAUGAAUGCAAGAACUGAGUUGCUCCUUCAGCAGUUCAGUACCCAUCACCAUAUUAUCUAGGCGCCACCAUAAGAUUAAGGAGCUCAACAUGAUCUGCUCAGGGGUCAUUAGCAGAGCCUUUCAUACUGGAGAGGGUUGGAGGAGACUAAGGAAGUGCACAGCAGAAGGAAAGAAAAAGGAAAAGGAGAGGGAAAUGCCACAAUGCUUGUGUGGAAGGAGUCACAAAGAUGGACACUGGAGUAAAUGAGAGCGCACAUAACUCACCAUCUAGCCUGUUUGGUCUGCCCACAUCGGUUCCUGACUCUAUACACUUCCCCAUUAUUUUCCAGGAAAUGUCUUUCUGCAGACAGCAGAACUGAAGCAUUCAAAGGUGAAGCAUCUUGUCCAAGCAACAAGUUUUCAUCAAUGAUGAGACUUCAAAUUCCUUGCUCCAGACUCACUUGGUUAUCACUCCUACCUAGUUAUAUGGUGCAGUCUUUUCAGCAGUGGCUGAAAAGCAGUUAUCUGGACUUAACAUUGAGCACAGGACUAGUGCAGUUUGCUGUUCCACACUGAAGCCCACCAGCUUGCUGCUCUGUGUAGUCUGAUGAGAGCCUUCCUGUGGUCCCUGGCUAAUGUUUAAUCCCUGGAGGGAGGCUGCAGGAGAGCACAAAUUAGCAGGGAGUGAGUUCUGUGAAGUGCUGAAUAGGUGGUCACAUUUACCUCCCUCCUCCCCACUACGGUGGCAGUUACAUGAGGGAAGAACCUAGAACCACAUUUAGAAAGAAGGUUAAGUGGGCUUUUCUGUCCUAAAUUUAUGCCAAAAUCAUUUGGUAAUACAGUGUGGAGGUUUACAAGCUGCAGAUGCAGGAGGCUGAGUCAGAGUUCCCAGGACAUCAAAGAGCAGAAGGCAGGAUUCCUCACGGGCCAGCUUUAUGCAAUAUUAAAUGUUUCUGACAUAGUUUUCCCAUUUGUUCUCUUUACUUCCUACCCAAGUACGAGUGAGAAACCACCCUCAGAAUAAAGCUUGUUCUGAAGCAAGUGAGGGAUGCA
rnacentral:lncRNA from 1 species